UUCCUCUAGUCAUGGCUGUUUUCUUUUCUGGAUUGCUGGAGCUAACGUUUAAACACCAGCAGGAAACCUCCAGGAAGUUGGAAAACCCAAUGCUUUAGAAAAGUAGGAGAGCCUGCUUGCAUGUGUAUACAAGAUGUGUCAUCAAAAUGGAGCAACAAAAAUGAAACUGGGACACUGGACUCUGAUAUGAUUCUUCUGGCUGCCUCAGAAUCAUGAUAAGAAAAGAAAAUCUGGAGAGAGACAAUGAAGAAGCAACAUAUUUGUGGCUCAAGCUGGAUGAGAGGAAAAGAACAAAACCACUCUGUGGAUUAAGUGGGAUACUGCAAAGUGCUGAACAUUGCCCAACCAUUUUUACUGGAAUGGGAGAGAUUCAUCAAACACCACGACUCAGUUUCACCUGUGUUAUCACCUCCAAUCAAAUAGAAAUGCCCUGGAAGCUGAGGAGGAUAUAGAUUCCUAACAGUACCAACACUCAGCA